GCCCUUCAUAAAUACCAAAAAUGAAAAUAGCCUGUCAGAAUUAGUAUAAGUACAAAACAUUUUGAGACUUAAUUUUAAAAAACUGUGGCACUAGCGUUGUUUCUAAAAACAGAAAUGUAAUAUAGGUAUGCCCGUCAGGAAUAUAUUCUAUGCAAAUCCCAUAUAUUUUCUGAUAAAGUUUCAAAGUUCUCAUUAUUUACAGGGCUCAUUGUUCUUCCCAAGCAAUACAAUCACAAUAAUUGUGAUGAAUUUACUCUGUACAAGUUGUAGCUGAGUUGACUCGAGUCAUUUACGGCAAAAUCAGCAAGUCGAGUCCGAGUCGAGUCAUUUGGGACUGUUGACUCGAGUCGAGUCGAGUCAUUUUUCGUAUUGGACUCGAGUCGAGUCGCUGAAAAUAGCGACUCGAG